GGAAUAUUGGACAAUGGGCGCAAGCCUGAUCCAGCCAUACCGCGUGGGUGAAGAAGGCCUUCGGGUUGUAAAGCCCUUUUGUUGGGAAAGAAAAGCAGCCGGUUAAUACCCGGCUGUCAUGACGGUACCCAAAGAAUAAGCACCGGCUAACUUCGUGCCAGCAGCCGCGGUAAUACGAAGGGUGCACGCGUUACUCGGAAUUACUGGGCGUAAAGCGUGCGUAGGUGGUUUGUUAAGUCUGAUGUGAAAGCCCUGGGCUCAACCUGGGAAUUGCAUUGGAUACUGGCAGGCUAGAGUGCGGUAGAGGAUGGCGGAAUUCCCGGUGUAGCAGUGAAAUGCGUAGAGAUCGGGAGGAACAUCCGUGGCGGAGGCGGCCAUCUGGACCAGCACUGACACUGAGGCACGAAAGCGUGGGGAGCAAAC
rnacentral:rRNA from 1 species